GUCCAGUUUUGACUCCCACUGGCUCCAGCAUUUCAGUGUUGGGGAAUAAGAUGCCCUCUAUGAUUGUUGUCGCCUGUAUAACCCUUGGAAUCGUCCUCACCGGUGAAUUACUCGCACUGAUGAUGAUAUCACGGAGACGGGCAGCAAAAAGAGCUGCAGAUAUUAGUGGCAGGGGAUCACCGGUCGGCUUUUACCAGGCAAUUUAUGAAGAGAUUGAGGAUAUUCCUGCCACCAACAA